GAUGAAGAACGUAGCGAAAUGCGAUAAGUAGUGUGAAUUGCAGAAUUCAGUGAAUCAUCGAAUCUUUGAACGCACAUUGCGCCCCUCGGUAUUCCGUGGGGCAUGCCUGUUCGGGCGUCAUUUAACCCCUCAAGCCUAGCUUGGUAUUGGGUGCUUGUCCCGCCUCUCGCGCGGCGACUCACCUCAAAGUCAUUGGCAGCCCGCAUCUCGCCGGCCGUGAGCGCAGCACAGACGCGCUCUUGGCAACGACGGAUCGGCUCUCCAAAAGCUUAUUUCAACCACUGACCUCGGAUCAGGUAGGGAUACCCGCUGAACUUAAGCAUAUCAAUAAGCGGAGGA
rnacentral:misc_RNA from 1 species